UACGUAGGGUGCGAGCGUUGUCCGGAUUUAUUGGGCGUAAAGAGCUCGUAGGCGGUUUGUCGCGUCGGCCGUGAAAUCUCCACGCUUAACGUGGAGCGUGCGGUCGAUACGGGCAGACUUGAGUUCGGUAGGGGAGACUGGAAUUCCUGGUGUAGCGGUGAAAUGCGUAGAUAUCUGGAGGAACACCGGUGGCGAAGGCGGCAUCCUGGACCAACACUGACACUGAGGAGCGAAAGCCAGGGGAGCAAACAGG
rnacentral:rRNA from 1 species